CGAAAAUGUAUAUCCUGUUUGACCUGAAACAACAUCAGGAAGAAUAAAAACAGUACCUGUCGACAAGGAUCCAAUUUGGUUAUGUUUUGUUUGUUGUUUAACGCCGCACUCAGCAAUAUUCCAGACUACAAGAACAACGAGGAUGUCACCAAGUUCAUCCGACGCUGCGCUCGUCUGCCUUUAGUUCCAGUGGCAAAUGUGGAAGAUGUCUGGCUCGAAAUCCUAGAAAACAUCAAAGACAAAAGGUGCCUGCAGGUCGCAGACUUAG